rnacentral:rRNA from 1 species
UACAGAGGUCUCAAGCGUUGUUCGGAUUUAUUGGGCGUAAAGGGUGCGUAGGCGGCGGGGCAAGUGAGGUGUGAAAUCCCGGAGCUCAACUCUGGAACUGCACUUUAUACUACUCUGCUAGAGUCUUGGAGAGGAGACUGGAAUUUACGGUGUAGCAGUGAAAUGCGUAGAUAUCGUAAGGAAGACCAGUGGCGAAGGCGAGUCUCUGGACAAAGACUGACGCUGAGGCACGAAGGCCAGGGGAGCAAACGGG